rnacentral:rRNA from 1 species
GACGAACCGCGCAAACGUUAAUCGGAUUUAUUGGGCUUAAAGAGCGUGUAGGCGGUAUUGUAAGUGGAAGGUGAAAUCCUAUCGGCUCAAACGUAGAACAGCCUUUCAUACUGCAGUACUUGAGGGAGAUAGGGGUCCGUGGAACUUCCGGUGGAGCGGUGAAAUGUGUUGAUAUCGGAGGGAACGCCGGCGGCGAAAGCGGCGGACUGGAACUCUUCUGAAGCUGAGGCGCGACAGCUAGGGGAGCGAACGGG